rnacentral:rRNA from 1 species
GGUUACUGAGUGGCGGACGGGUGAGUAACGCGUGGGUAACCUGCCUUAGACAGGGGGAUAACAUCAAGAAAUUGGUGCUAAUACCGCAUAUGCUUACAGUAUCGCAUGAUACAGUGAGGAAAACUCCGGUGGUCUAAGAUGGACCCGCGUCUGAUUAGCUAGUUGGAGGGGUAACGGCCCACCAAGGCGACGAUCAGUAGCCGACUUGAGAGAGUGAUCGGCCACAUUGGGACUGAGACACGGCCCAAACUCCUACGGGAGGCAGCAGUAGGGAAUAUUGCACAAUGGGGGAAACCCUGAUGCAGCGACGCCGCGUGAAGGAUGAAGUAUUUCGGUAUGUAAACUUCUAUCAGCAAGGAAGAAAAUGACGGUACUUGACUAAGAAGCCCCGGCUAAAUACGUGCCAGCAGCCGCGGUAAUACGUAUGGGGCAAGCGUUAUCCGGAUUUACUGGGUGUAAAGGGAGCGUAGGCGGCAUGGCAAGUCAGAAGUGAAAGCCUGGGGCUCAACCCCGGAAUUGCUUUUGAAACUGUCAAGCUAGAGUGUCGGAGGGGUAAGUGGAAUUCCUAGUGUAGCGGUGAAAUGCGUAGAUAUUAGGAGGAACACCAGUGGCAAAGGCGGCUUACUGGACGACUACUGACGCUGAGGCUCGAAAGCGUGGGGAGCAAACAGG